CCUACGGGGUGCAGCAGUGAGGAAUAUUGGUCAAUGGGCGCGAGCCUGAACCAGCCAAGUAGCGUGAAGGAUGACUGCCCUACGGGUUGUAAACUUCUUUUAUAAAGGAAUAAAGUGAGGCACGUGUGCCUUUUUGUAUGUACUUUAUGAAUAAGGAUAGGCUAACUCCGUGCCAUCAGCCGCGGUAAUACGGAGGAUCCGAGCGUUAUACGGAUUUAUUGGGUUUAAAGGGAGCGUAGAUGGGUUGUUAAGUCAGUUGUGAAAGUUUGCGGCUCAACCGUAAAAUUGCAAUUGAUACUGGCAGUCUUGAGUACAGUUGAGGUAGGCGGAAUUCGUGGUGUAGCGGUGAAAUGCUUAGAUAUCACGAAGAACUCCGAUUGCGAAGGCAGCUUACUAAACUGCCACUGACAUUGAUGCUCGAAAGUGUGGGUAUCAAACAGGAUUAGAUACCCCGGUAGUC
rnacentral:rRNA from 1 species